GUGCCAGCAGCCGCGGUAAUUCCAGCUCCAAUAGCGUAUAUUAAAGUUGUUGUGGUUAAAAAGCUCGUAGUUGAACCCUGGGCCUGGCUGGCCGGUCCGCCUCACCGCGUGCACUGGUCCGGCCGGGCCUUUCCCUCUGUGGAACCCCAUACCCUUCACUGGGCGUGGCGGGGAAACAGGACAUUUACUUUGAAAAAAUUAGAGUGCUCCAGGCAGGCCUAUGCUCGAAUACAUUAGCAUGGAAUAAUAAAAUAGGACGCGCGGUUCUAUUUUGUUGGUUUAUAGGACCGCCGUAAUGAUUAAUAGGGACAGUCGGGGGCAUCAGUAUUCAACUGCCAGAGGUGAAAUUCUUGGAUCAGUUGAAGACUAACUACUGCGAAAGCAUUUGCCAAGGAUGUUUUCAUUAAUCAGGAACGAAAGUUAGGGGAUCGAAGACGAUCAGAUACCGUCGUAGUCUUAACCAUAAACUAUGCCGACUAGGGAUCGGACGGUGUUAUUCAUGACCCGUUCGGCACCUUACGAGAAAUCAAAGUGCUUGGGCUCCAGGGGGAGUAUGGGUCGCAAGGCUGAAACUUAAAGAAAUUGACGGAAGGGCACCACCAGGGGUGGAGCCUGCGGCUUAAUUUGACUCAACACGGGGAAACUCACCAGGUCCAGACACAAUAAGGACUGACAGAUUGAGAGCUCUUUUCUUGAUUUUGUGGUGGUGGUGCAUGGCCGUUCUUAGUUGGUGGGGUGACUUGUCUGGCUUAAUUGCGAUAACGAACGAGAACCUUAACCUGGCUAAAAUAGCCCGGCAUUGCU
rnacentral:rRNA from 1 species